rnacentral:lncRNA from 1 species
UUCCUGUCUCUCUUCAAAAUUUCGGCCAUAACUCCCCCCUCUUGUUCUUCAUCUUUAACAAAUCUCCGAGGAUUCUAAGGGUUCUCAAGAAGAUCAAAAGGGGUUUGCAAGUGUUAGGGGUCAUCAAAGGAGCUUUUUACACAAGACUUUGGAGUAUUAUCCUUCUUCUUUCUUCAUCUAAAGAACUCAUCCCUAGCAUUGUGCUAGUAGUGCUUUAUGGCAUUUUGUGACAACUCGUGUUUAAGCUACUAGCGUGCUAGGGAAGCGAGACAAUAAUAAACUUCUAGGAGUCUGUGUCCGUAGGACGGUGUCCACGUACCUGUUCCAGGGCCAUAAUUAUCUGUAGAUCUUGCACUGGCACUUGUAGUCAGUAAGAUCCACAGUAGUCGUCUAGAGGUCUUAAA